rnacentral:lncRNA from 1 species
UUUUUUUUUUUUUUUUUUUUUGGUUUUUUGUUUUGUUUUUACCUUGGGACCAUUACGCCACAGCUGACUCGCUUUGCCAGGGAGCUGCUGGUGCCCUGGAAACACAGCUGAAGUUCCAGCCACGUCCACAGAAGUGUUUUUAAAAUGUCACCUUUAAGAAACCGAACAAGUAGGAUUGGCUCUGUUUUUUUUUUCUCUCCCCUCCGCGGAUCAGUCAUUUCCAUAAAAAGUAGAUGCUAUCAGAACAUCUUUUCUCUCAUGGUUUCAUGCCAAGCCCAGAGAAACCUCCAGCGAAAACGUGUCUCGGGGGCUGCUUCCUGUGCCUGGCACAGGCGCAGGGGGUUGAGGGUGACACUGGGGGCUGGUCAGUGACAGAGGCAGCCUCAGGCUGAGGACAGAUCCUAGAAGAGGCGUUUGAUCUCAGGCCAAGAUUCAGAGUGCGGCGAAUAUGGAAGUAUUAAAGAUCAGCCAAGGGGCCGCCAGCUUAGCCCUGGGAGUAGAUUUGGGAUUUUGUUCCAAGAGAAUCACCCACUUUGCUGAUUAAUCCUGUUUUCAUUGGGUCAUCUGGAUAGAGUGUUGUUCCCAGGAGUGGGAAGCGUGUGAUCUGGGCCAGUAAGUGGGUGGCACCUGCCUCCCCACUUGGACCUGGGUUCUUGGCCUCUGCCAUUGCUGGCUGGCGGCAGGGCACCUGGGCGCCAGGGUGUGUGGGCAGCAGCUCUGUGUGGCGUGGUGCCCACCCUGGGUGGCAUCACGCAGGCGUGUCGGCCUCUCAUUGCAGACUUACAGCCAGCUGGCCCACCCCAUCCAGCAGGCCAAGGCACUGGGUCUCCAGUUCCAUUCUCGCAUCCUAGACAUUGACAACGUCGACGUAAGCACCUCGCAGUGGGGGCCCGGGCCACCAUCGGGGGUGGGAACUAUGGCCCAGACAAGGCCCAGGAGGUGGCCUUGCCAGGGGCUGGGGGCCAUGGGCUGAUCCAAGAGGUCUUGGGCUUGUCCAAGGGGAGGGUCUCGAGGGAGGCCUGGUCCUGGCCUGAGAGGCAAGGCCCACGGGGAGGGACCGGUGCUGGGCCUGGUGCUGGAGCCUUCUCCUAGCAGGGCCUAGGCGCAGGGGUUUCACCUCCAGGGGAGCAGCCGGGCUGUCCUCUGAGGCACAUCCCCCCUCUCGGCCCCUCUGCAGCUGGCCAUGGGCAAGAUGAUGGAGCAGGGGCCGGUGCUGAUCAUCACCUUCCAGGCACAGCUGGUGAUGGUGGUCAGGAACCCCAAAGGCGAGGUGGUGGAGGGUGACCCGGUGAGUGAGGGAGUGGGAUGGGGCAGGCACAUGACACCGCCUGUCCCCAAGAUCUGUGUGUGGCCACCUGGCAGAGACCCCAGCUCAGAGCCCUGAAGCUCUGGGACUGGGUGGGGAUGUGGAGAAACCUCUGGGCCAGAGUUUGGGGUUGAGGGAGGUCGGAGACCAGCAGACCUGUCUGUUUUUACCAAGGCUGAGUGGUUCCUGAGUCUAGGCAAUUGUGCUGGCCUCUGCUCCCAGCCCCUGGGGAAGUUGCCGGUGGCUCCUGCCCCACAGAGCCUGGCCCCCCCCCAGAGCUGCCUGGGUCACCUCAACCCUCUCAACAGUGCCCUUCCCACCCCACCCUGCAGGACAAGGUGCUGCGGAUGCUGUACGUGUGGGCGCUCUGCCGAGACCAGGACGAGCUCAACCCCUACGCGGCCUGGCGGCUCCUGGACAUCUCGGCCUCCAGCACCGAGCAGAUUCUCUGAGUGUGGUGCCGGAGCCAGGUAGCCCCGGCCUGGGUCAUCAGGCACAGAGGCACCGCAACACCACCUGCGGCAACUCCAGACCUCUGGGAACAAGACUGCGGGCUCUGCCCCCAGCUCUGCCAGGACGGCUGCAAGACCAGCUGGCCCGGGAGGGGACAACGGGCUGUUGCGGGUGCGCGGCAGCUGGAGACACUCCCCCGCAGGGCCAACCCCUGCCCUGUUGCUCUGCCCUGCAGGGGUCCCGGCGCCUGGUCACCUGGGGUGCACACAGGUCACACAGUGCCAAGAGGCCCCAGGGCCCAGGGACUCCCCCCACAGCAGGGUGGGACCCGGGACCCGCGGCUCAGUGGCCCGCUAGCCACGUCAGCCAAGCCACUUUAGGUCCAUUUUUUAAUUUUAACAGUGCUCUUCCAUCUUGUGCAUAAGCCUGAGAUUUGGAAAGAAUAAAACACCGAAUUGCAGAAGAGCA